AUUGCAAAUGGCGUCGUCAGUAGAAGAACCAUUUUAUGUUUGAGAAAAUUUAAUCUUUUAAUCUUAGUUGUAUCAUGAAGUGAAUUAUAUAUAUUUAAUUGUAAUCAGGUUCAGAAUUAUCUAAAUUAUCAAUAAAUAAUAUAAGUUUAUUGGCAGGCAGGAAGAAAAUUAGUACAUUUCGAUAAAAUUUUGCUGACACGGAAACUCAACCUAAAAAGUUUAUCAUCCCAGUGUUAAAAAAUACAGAUUCUAUUCUCGAUGGCUUGCGGUGUCACGUACUUCAAAGAUAAGGGCAAACGUAAAAAAAGAGAUAUCUUUGAAGGACACACAAUUCACACAAACUUUUUAGAACUCGGUCUAUUUUUACGGUUAUUUUUCACGUUUUCUGAAUGGAAAUUUAACUUGAAAAUAGGGAUCUCCGAGGGCUAUUUAGUUUGAAAGAAUCUCCUUGAAGUUGAAAAUUCGUUAUUAAGGUAUAGUUUUCGUUAGCUUAAUUAUAGUGAAAUAGACCAGUGACGCGAAGGUGGCGCUCCUAGUGAUCACUAUCGGUAAUUCUAAACGUCGUGUACAGUGUCGAGUGGUUUCUGCAUCGUCGAAAGUUUUUGGAAGUGUCAAGUGCAUUCGUUCUAAUUGAAAAAGUCAAUAAAAUGUGUUGAAAUUAUUAAAAUCAUUCUACGGUUGGUGACGUUCGACAAUCAUUAUUUCCAGUAAUUUAUUCGAAACUAAAUCAACGUCUCUAUCGACAUAAACUAUAGACGACUUGAUGCAAUAGUCACGUCCGAGGAAGGUAGCGCUCCUAGUGUUCACUAUUGGUAAUAUUAAACGUCGCGUACAGUGUCAAGUGGUUCUUCGAAAAUUUUUGUAAGUGUCAAGUGCAUUCGUUUAAGUGGAACAGGACAUUAUAAUGGAUUGAAAUUAUUGAAAUCAUUCUACGCGGUUGGUGACGUCGACCAUCAUCAUCUCCAGUACUUUAUACUGUGAAUCACGCUUCCAAAUUCAGAUCGUAUUGUUGCUGCUACAUUUUAUCCACAUUCUUAGGAUUUAAAAGAUGAACUUGACCAAUUGCUGCAUAUAUUAAGACGCUGCAAUAUAUGUUUUGUUCAUGUUUUCAUUUAAAUAAACUCAGGAUGGAAGUUGUUCAAUUCAAGUAUACUGAGAUACUGUGAAUCAUGUGUGAAUGUGCGUCAUCGAUCCUGAGCAACAGCUUCUAAGAUAAAUAAGGACAGUGGACUGGAUUGAAAUAAACUGAAUAUAUGUGAAGAAUUUCCACCUCAACAUCAAUAUACAACAGACUUCUCAAGUGAAAAUCGUCAACAAUCGUCAAUUUCUCUGUCAACUGGAAUAAUUAUAAAACAUUAUUAUGAGUGUUCACCGUAAGUUAAAUCGUGCAGUUUGUGAAGGAAGCCUAGAAGAAGUAAAAAAAUUAAUCAAUAUUUAUGGGCUGAAUUACUCAGAAUCAUGGAAAGGAGGAUAUCAUUUACUUUGUGAUGCUCUUGAAAGAAACAAUUUAGCGAUUGCUAAACUACUUUUGACGAGGGGUUCUAGAGUCAACAGCUUACCGAAACGAACUCACAGUACGCCUCUUCAAUUAGCAAUUAUAAAUGGUGACAUGAAAAUUAUUAAGAUGAUUUUAGACAGAGGUGCUGAAAUUAAUCAAAGUAAAUUUGGUAAAACUGCACUUCACAUUGCGAUUGAAAAAAAGAAAAUAGAAAUUAUUGAAUUACUUUUAAAACGUGGCGCUGAAUAUAAAGACAUAAGUUUUCAGGGUAAAAGUUUAUUUUAUAUUGCAAUUGAAAAAAACUAUGAUAAAAUUGUAAAAUUUCUUCUACAACAUGGAGCACAAAUUGAUGAUCCAGUACAAAAUGAUACAACCAUACUACAACUUGCAGUUAAAGAAAAAUCUAUAGAAUUUGUUAACAAUGUUUUAAAGUAUUUUCCUGAUAUUAAUAAUAAAAAUAAUAGACAAUCUUUUAAAAUUGCUGUGUAUGGCAAUGGAAAACAAUAUAAAACGAUUGUUGAGUCUCUUUUAGAAUAUGGUUUUAAUGUUAACCCCGAAGAUGCAAAUGAGUUAUUACAUGUUGCUGUUCAAAAAAAAUAUUUAAAAUUUGUUGAACAUCUAUUGAAACAAGGUGCUGAUAUAAAUGCUGAGGAUAAAAUCAAAAAUAUUCCAAUAGUUUAUGCUAUUAAGAAUAAAGAUUACAAUCUUACUAAACUUCUUUUAAAUAAUGGAGCCAAUGUAAAAGAUAAUCCUUUGCUAUUGAGAAUUGCUAUUGAGACUGAGGACCUAGGAAUCGUUCAAUCUCUUUUGCAUCAUGGUGUUAAUAUUAAUGCUUGUCAUAAAGAUGGAAGUACAGCAUUGCAUUGUGCUGUAUCUGAAGAAUUAGAAGAAAUUACUAAACUGCUUCUAAGUAAUGGCGCUAAUGUAAAUGCUAAACGAAUAGAUGGGACUACUGCUUUUCACAUUGCAGCUGAAAAAUCUUGUGAAUUUACUUUAAUAAUAUUGCUAGAAUUUGGUACCAAAGUCGAUGAUAAAAUCAAAAGUAAUUUUUCAUUUUGUGUCGAUAUUAACUCUAGAGAUAAGUCUGGCAAAACAGCACUUCACAUUGCUUCUCAAAAAGGACAUGAUGGCAUUGUUAACAUUCUUCUGGAUUAUGGUGCUGAUAUUAAUAUUACUGAUGAUUAUUUUAAAACACCUUUUGAUUGCGCUGAAAGUGUGAUAGAUUCAAUCUAUGAGCAAUAUAGUUUUGAAGAAGAUUCCACCUUUGACUCAUCUGACGAUGAAUAUUAUCAUUAUCAGCACAAUAUUCUUGAUCAUGUAUACGGAUAUAAAUUAAUUGUUAAAGCUCUUCAACAUCACAUAAUUAAAUUAAAAACCGCAAAUCUACAUGGGAUCGCGCGCCACUUCCACUAACUCCCGGCCCCCUGAAGCGUCGCGCGCCAGUUCCAGCUGAGCCAAUCAACGCCUGGCGUUCUGUAUCCCACCACAUCCACAGUCGCGCGCCAGUUCGAGCUGAGCCAAUCAACGCCUGGCAUUCUGUAUCCCACCACAUCCACAGUCGCGCGCAACUUCCAGCUGAGCGCUGAGGCUAUUCAGUCGGCCAUCAGCCACGUGCCAGCAACGUCCGGAGUUAUGGAACAAUCAUCUGCAUUUUUAAAGUAAAUAAGCAGUGAUAAGUAAUAGAAGUAAACAAAGAAAAGAAAAAAAACGGGGGAUAUAUAGAAAUCCAUGGAAUUUAACUGGAAACGACAGAGUUAAAAUCGGGACUGACCAUCGUUAACCGACAGAAAAGGGACCGGUAGAAGGGAAAGUAAGAGAAGAACUCCACCAAAAUGAAGGACAGGAGGCACGUGUGCAAGAAAGUGGCCUUGGAACAGACAAGAGGAGACACUAUAAAAAAACAAACAUUUAUUGAAUAAAAAUUUUUAUUAAUAUAUAUUUCUCUUUUAAUUGUCGUCGUCGUCAUCUUCUUCUUCUUCUUCCUCCUCCUAGUCCUCCCUCUUCAGACACGUCCUCCUGUCCUUCUUUUUGGUGGAGUUCUUCUCUUACUUUCCCUUCUACCGGUCCCUUUUCUUUCGGUUAACGAUGGUCAGUCCCGAUUUUAACUCUGUCGUUUCCAGUUAAAUUCCAUGUAUGUCUAUAUAUCCCCCCUUUUUUUCUUUUCUUUGUUCACUUCUAUUACUUACCACUACUUAUUUACUUUAAAAAUGCAGAUGAUUGUUCCUGAAAUAUUAAAGUGUUAAGUUUUAAACAUAAUUUAUAGUUUCAAAUUUUUCUUUAAAAGUAUCUGCUCAAAGUACUUUAAAUUUUUAUUUACAUUUGAAUUUCUUUGAAAAUAAAACUAAGUUUCUAGAUAGAUAAGUUUAAUUUUAUUUAUUUUUUAAUAUUUAUUUAUAUAUUUCAUAAUUUUUACAUUAUUUAUUUAGUUUUAUAUGAAUAUUAUUUAUUACUGUUAUUUUUAGUAUUAUUUAUUAUCAUAAUUUACUAUUAAAAACCUUUUGUUUAUUUUAUUGUUGUCUUGUUUAUCUUCAGAUUACUACUCAACGAACUGAAGAAGAGAGAAAAUCAUGCUGAGAAGGUGAAAGUGUUAUUAUUGGUAUUUACAAAUGUAGGAGUGAUUAAAAAACCUUUUUAUAAAAUAUUCUGUAUAUUUAUAUUUGAAAAUAAAUAAAAAUAUAAAAUAAACGUAUAUUAUUACAUUCCUAUUCAAAAAAUGUUAUUUUCAAUUUUUUUAUUUAUUGGAAAAAUUUAAGUUCGACCUUCGGAUUAUUGAGUUGCAAGGUUCAGGAAAGGGUUCUAUAAAAAUUAAAAUGUCCGCCCUAAUUAAAUUUUUUGUAUACAUUCGCAACUAAAAUGAAAUCAGAGCGAAUAUUUUAAUAUUUAUACAACCCUUUAAUGAACCUUGCAGCUCAACAUUCUGAAGUUUGCAAUAUUCUUCUAUAUAUUUUUUAUAACGGUUAUGAAAAAGGUUUUUAAUAUAUCACGACAUUUAUAAGUGCCAAUAACGACAAUUCCAUCUUAAAAGAUAUUCUUUUCUUCUUUUCAGAUGAUUGUUAGUUGGUUAAUAAACAGGUCAACAAUGAAAUAAAUAAUUAAAAAUAUUGUUAAUACAAAUUUU